AGUUGUUUCACUGGAGACAAAAGAACCUCUUGAGGGAUACAUUUCAUUCUUACACAGAUAUUUAAAUGAACUCUGAACUUGGAGUUGAUACUGGGAUGUGUUGAAACUUCAGAAACUACUGGGGAGAAAGAGGAAAAGCCAUGUGAAGACAUAGUGAGAAGGUGGUCAGAGAGAGGCCUCACCAGAUACCAACUCCAAUAACCAA